AGAGGUGGCAAGCGUUGCUCGGAGUUACUGGGCAUAAAGGGCGCGUAGGCGGUCGAGUGCGUCGAGGGUGAAAUCCCCGGGCUUAACCCGGGAACUGCCUUCGAUACGGCCCGACUGGAGUGCGGGAGGGGAGAGUGGAACUCCUGGUGGAGCGGUGAAAUGCGUAGAUAUCAGGAGGAACGCCGGUGGCGAAAGCGACUCUCUGGUCCGCAACUGACGCUGAGGCGCGAAAGCCAGGGGAGCAAACGGGAUUAGAUACCCCGGUAGUCCUGGCCCUAAACUAUGAGCACUAGGUAGCGGCAGGUCCGAAUUGUCGCUGCUGAAGCAAAUGUAUUAAGUGCUCCGCCUGGGGAGUAUGGUCGCAAGGCUA
rnacentral:rRNA from 1 species